rnacentral:rRNA from 1 species
AGAGUUUGAUCCUGGCUCAGGAUGAACGCUGGCGGCGUGCCUAACACAUGCAAGUCGAACGGAGUUAUUUUGGAAAGUUGCUUCGGUAACUGGAAUCUAUAACUUAGUGGCGGACGGGUGAGUAACGCGUGAGCAAUCUGCCUUUAGGAGGGGGAUAACAGUCGGAAACGGCUGCUAAUACCGCAUGAUACGUUUGGGAGGCAUCUCUUGGACGUCAAAGAUUUUAUCGCCUUUAGAUGAGCUCGCGUCUGAUUAGCUAGUUGGCGGGGUAACGGCCCACCAAGGCGACGAUCAGUAGCCGG